CAGAUGCAAGUGGCUCCAUUCCAACAAAUUGUACUUUAAAAGACAGGUGGCUGACUGCAUUUGGCCGAUGGACAGCAGUUGGCCAGCUCUUGAGAUAGAGGUUUGUGCUGUUACCAAGGAGGAUUUACAAACAAGAAGUUGAAAGCAAAGGCAGCUCAUGACAUCAAGUUGAAAGCAAUGAGUGAAAGCAAACUUUUAAAAAACAAAAUGAACAAGGACGUAAUUGGAGAAAGGGGCUCAUAUAAAAAGUUUGCUGAAUUGGAUGAAAAUACAUUUUACUCUAGAACUUCCAAAAGGAACACAAGAUGGCUUGAGUGUCCAGAGGUCCGGAACUCACUGUGGGCCAGAGUCUGAAUUUAAAUGUGCUCAAGUCCCUACCAACUUCAGACAAAACAGAAGAAAGCAAAACUUCAGUGACACCUCGAGCCACGUGUGAUUGUGCUUUCUUUCUCUUUCCAUCAAACUGAUUUCUUUUUUAAAUGCAGACACCUGUUUUACAAGCAUUCCACAAAGACUAGUAACAUAUUUACCUGUGAAGAUUCCCAUUGUCCUAGAGAAGAUGUUACUAGGAGGGAGACUGGCAGCCACUGUCUUCAGGGAGCCUGCAAGUUGUCUUCAGCCUGAAAAGGGGCAAAUCAGAGCUGGCAGGGAAAGCAGAGGGAGGAUGCAAGGUUCUCCUGACCUGAGCCCAUGAAGCUGGAGCCCGCCAUACCUGAAGGCAGCACGGAGCCUCAGCCAGGUUGCAUUAGUGGAAACAGGAGAAAAGUACCAAGU